rnacentral:rRNA from 1 species
UACAGAGGUGGCAAGCGUUGUUCGGAAUUACUGGGCGUAAAGGGCGCGUAGGCGGCCAUCUAAGUCAGACGUGAAAUCCCCCGGCUCAACCUGGGAACUGCGUCUGAUACUGGACGGCUUGAGUUUGGGAGAGGGAUGUAGAAUUCCAGGUGUAGCGGUGAAAUGCGUAGAUAUCUGGAGGAAUACCGGUGGCGAAGGCGACAUCCUGGACCGGUAUUGACGCUGAGGCGCGAAAGCCAGGGGAGCAAACGGG